rnacentral:rRNA from 1 species
CGUCGUCGGUAGGGGAGCGUUCUAAGGGCGUCGAAGCUAGACCGGAAGGACUAGUGGAGCGCUUAGAAGUGAGAAUGCCGGUGUGAGUAGCGAAAACAGAGGUGAGAAUCCUCUGCACCGAAAGCCUAAGGUUUCCUGAGGAAGGCUCGUCCGCUCAGGGUUAGUCGGGACCUAAGCCGAGGCCGAAAGGCGUAGGCGAUGGACAACAGGUUGAUAUUCCUGUACCACCUCCUCACCGUUUGAGCAAUGGGGGGACGCAGGAGGAUAGGGUCAGCGCGCGACUGGUUGUGCGCGUCCAAGCAGUUAGGCGCCUCAAGUAGGCAAAUCCGCUUGAGUAGGCUGAGCUGUGAUGGCGAGGGAAAUAUAGUACCGAAGUGCCUGAUUCCACACUGCCAAGAAAAGCCUCUAGCGAGGUGAGAGGUGCCCGUACCGCAAACCGACACAGGUAGGCGAGGAGAGAAUCCUAAGGUGCGCGGGAGAACUCUCGUUAAGGAACUCGGCAAAAUGACCCCGUAACUUCGGGAGAAGGGGUGCUCCCUCGGGUGAAUAGCCCAGGGGAGCCGCAGUGAAAAGGCCCAAGCGACUGUUUAUCAAAAACACAGGUCUCUGCGAAGCCGUAAGGCGAAGUAUAGGGGCUGACACCUGCCCGGUGCUGGAAGGUUAAGGGGAGCGCUUAGCGCAAGCGAAGGUGCGAACCGAAGCCCCAGUAAACGGCGGCCGUAACUAUAACGGUCCUAAGGUAGCGAAAUUCCUUGUCGGGUAAGUUCCGACCCGCACGAAAGGUGUAACGACUUGGGCACUGUCUCAACGAGAGACCCGGUGAAAUCAUAGUACCUGUGAAGAUGCAGGUUACCCGCGACAGGACGGAAAGACCCCGUGGAGCUUUACUGCAGCCUGAUAUUGAAUGUUGGUGCGACAUGUACAGCAUAGGUGGGAGACUGAGAAGCCUGGACGCCAGUCUAGGUGGAGUCGCCGUUGGGAUACCACCCUUGUCGUACUGAGAUUCUAACCCGCACCCCUGAUCGGGGUGGGAGACAGUGUCAGGUGGGCAGUUUGACUGGGGCGGUCGCCUCCCAAAGCGUAACGGAGGCGCCCAAAGGUUCCCUCAGAAUGGUUGGAAAUCAUUCGUAGAGUGUAAAGGCAGAAGGGAGCUUGACUGCGAGACCUACAAGUCGAGCAGGGACGAAAGUCGGGCUUAGUGAUCCGGUGGUUCCGAAUGGAAGGGCCAUCGCUCAACGGAUAAAAGCUACCCCGGGGAUAACAGGCUUAUCUCCCCCAAGAGUCCACAUCGACGGGGAGGUUUGGCACCUCGAUGUCGGCUCAUCGCAUCCUGGGGCUGUAGUCGGUCCCAAGGGUUGGGCUGUUCGCCCAUUAAAGCGGUACGCGAGCUGGGUUCAGAACGUCGUGAGACAGUUCGGUCCCUAUCCGUCGCGGGCGUAGGAAAUUUGAGAGGAGCUGUCCUUAGUACGAGAGGACCGGGAUGGACGCACCGCUGGUGUACCAGUUGU